AGCUCGAGUUUCUCUUCAUUGUCGCAUAAUCUUUCGCCUUUUACUAAGAUUUCCGUGAGGGAACUUUUGCGAGUGAUCUGUAUUUUUGGGGGCUCUGCUCACAGCAGAGCU
rnacentral:snRNA from 1 species